UUGCGGUUAAAAAGCUCGUAGUUGGAUUUCUGUUGAGGAUGACCGGUCCGCUCUUUGAGCGCGUAUCUGGUUCAGCCUUGGCAUCCUCUUGGGGAACGCUACUGUGCUUGAUUGCAUGGGGCGGUAUUCAAGACUUUUACUUUGAGGAAAUUAGAGUGUUCACUGCAAGCGUUAGCAAUUGAAUACAUUAGCAUGGAAUAAUAAUAUAGGACCUUGGUACUAUUUUGUUGGUUUCUAGAACUAAGGUAAUGAUUAAUAGGGACAAUUGGGGGCAUUCGUAUUAACGCGUCAGAGGUGGAAUUCUUAGAUUGCGUUACGACGAACUACUGCGAAAGCAUUUGCCAAGGAUGUUUUCAUUGAUCAAGAACGAAAGUAUGGGGAUCGAAGACGCUUAGAUACCGUCGUAGUCUAUACCAUAAACUAUGCCAACUAGAGAUUGGAGGUCGUUCUCUUUAUGACUCCUUCAGCACCUUAUGAGAAAUCAAAGUCUUUGGGUUCCGGGGGGAGUAUGGUCGCAAGGCUGAAACUUAAAGGAAUUGACGGAAGGGCACCACCAGGAGUGGAGCCUGCGGCUUAAUUUGACUCAACACGGGAAAACUUACCAGGUCCAGACAUAGUAAGGAUUGACAGAUUGAUAGCUCUUUCU
rnacentral:rRNA from 1 species